AACGAACGCUGGCGGCAGGCCUAACACAUGCAAGUCGAGCGCCCCGCAAGGGGAGCGGCGGACGGGUGAGUAACGCGUGGGAAUAUGCCCUUUGCUACGGAAUAGUCUCGGGACACUGGGGGUAAUACCGUAUACGCCCUUUGGGGGAAAGAUUUAUCGGCGAAGGAUUAGCCCGCGUUGGAUUAGGUAGUUGGUGGGGUAAUGGCCUACCAAGCCGACGAUCCAUCGCUGGUUUGAGAGGAUGAUCAGCCACACUGGGACUGAGACACGGCCCAGACUCCUACGGGAGGCAGCAGUGGGGAAUCUUAGACAAUGGGGGCAACACUGAUCUAGCCAUGCCGCGUGAGUGAUGAAGGCCUUAGGGUUGUAAAGCUCUUUCAGCUGGGAAGAUAAUGACGGUACCAGCAGAAGAAGCCACGGCUAACUCCGUG
rnacentral:rRNA from 1 species